rnacentral:rRNA from 1 species
AUUGAACGCUGGCGGAAUGCUUUACACAUGCAAGUCGAACGGCAGCACGGGGCAACCUGGUGGCGAGUGGCGAACGGGUGAGUAAUACAUCGGAACGUGCCCAAUCGUGGGGGAGUAACGUAGCGAAGUUAACGCUAAUACCGCAUACGAUCUACGGAUGAAAGCGGGGGAGUCGCAAGACCUCGCGCGAAUGGAGCGGCCGAUGUCAGAUUAGGUAGUUGGUGGGGUAAAGGCUCACCAAGCCACGAUCUGUUAGCUGGUCUGAGAGGACGGACCAGCCACACUGGAACUGAGACACGGUCCAGACUCCUACGGGAGGC